GAACGCACCUUGCGCCCUUUGGCUAUUCCGAAGGGCAUGCCUGUUUGAGUAUCAUGAACACCUCAACUCUCGUGGCUUUGCCAUGAUGAGCUUGGACUUUGGGGGUCUUGCUGGCCUGCGGUCAGCUCCUCUCAAAUGAAUUAGCUUGCCAGUGUUUGGUGGUAUCACGGGUGUGAUAACUAAUCUACGCUUGUGGUUUUCCACCAGGUAACCUUCAGUGAUGAAGGUUCUCUGGAGCUCAUAAAUGUCUCUCCUCAGCGAGGACAGCUCUUUGAACGUUUGAUCUCAAAUCAGGUAGGACUACCCGCUGAACUUA
rnacentral:misc_RNA from 1 species